CGAACGCUGGCGGCGUGGAUAAGACAUGCAAGUCGAACGGGAUAUGUUUUGUAGCAAUACAAGGCAUGUCUAGUGGCGCAAGGGUGCAUAACACGUGGGCAACCUGCCGGGAAAUGGGGGAUAGCUCGCCGAAAGGCGAAUUAAUACCGCAUGUGACUAAGAAGGACAUCCUUCUGACGUUAAAGUCGGGGCAACCUGACGUUUCCUGAUGGGCCCGCGGCCUAUCAGCUAGUUGGUGAGGUAACGGCUCACCAAGGCUAUGACGGGUAGCUGGUCUGAGAGGACGACCAGCCACACUGGAACUGAGACACGGUCCAGACACCUACGGGUGGCAGCAGUCGAGAACUUUUUUCUCAAUGGGGGAAACCCCUGAAGGAGCGUACGCCGCGUGGAGGAUGAAGGUCUUCGGAUUGUAAACUCCUGUCAUUAGA
rnacentral:rRNA from 1 species